CCUACGGGAGGCAGCAGUGGGGAAUUUUGGACAAUGGGGGCAACCCUGAUCCAGCCAUUCCGCGUGAGUGAAGAAGGCCUUCGGGUUGUAAAGCUCUUUCGCAAGGGAAGAAAACUUAUGAUCGAAUAAAUCAUGAGGUUGACGGUACCUUGAUAAGAAGCACCGGCUAACUACGUGCCAGCAGCCGCGGUAAUACGUAGGGUGCGAGCGUUAAUCGGAAUUACUGGGCGUAAAGCGUGCGCAGGCGGUUUUGUAAGUCGGAUGUGAAAUCCCCGGGCUCAACCUGGGAACUGCGUUCGAAACUGCAAGGCUAGAGUGUGUCAGAGGGGGGUAGAAUUCCACGUGUAGCAGUGAAAUGCGUAGAGAUGUGGAGGAAUACCAAUGGCGAAGGCAGCCCCCUGGGAUAACACUGACGCUCAUGCACGAAAGCGUGGGGAGCAAACAGGAUUAGAUACCCUGGUAGUCCACGCCCUAAACGAUGUCAACUAGUUGUUGGUAGAGUAAAAUCUAUGAGUAACGUAGCUAACGCGUGAAGUUGACCGCCUGGGGAGUACGGUCGCAAGAUUAAAACUCAAAGGAAUUGACGG
rnacentral:rRNA from 2 species